GAGAGAGGAGGAGCGGCUGUCGGUAGGCUCUCUGAGCCGGCUGAGGAAAGUCCCCCCACCAGCUGGAGACACGAACACCGGAAGGUGUAGGGCGAGAGUCCUGGCUCUGGCACAGAAACGACACGGCACUGUGUUAAUGCGAUGAUGCAGAGAUGCUGAGGUCGCACAGCUGCCGAUGAAACGGCGAAUCCUCGUGGGUGCAAGCCAAUCUGGGUAGAUGAGAUCCAGCCGAUACCCAAGUAGGGCGCGAAGAUAGAUGCCGCUUAAAACAGAAGGGGGCUUACCAUCCUCACUC
rfam:Candidatus Syntrophoarchaeum butanivorans isolate BOX1 BOX1_11reassembly_contig01, whole genome shotgun sequence.